rnacentral:hammerhead_ribozyme from 1 species
AUCCAGCUGAAGAGUUCCAAAUAGGACGAAAUGCGCGUUAUCCUUGAU